AAGUCGUAACAAGGUUUCCGUAGGUGAACCUGCGGAAGGAUCAUUACAAAUCUCUGAACACACACGAUGUGAGGAUAGUAGUAGACUAGUAGAGUAGUAGCAGUACUAUUACUAGUCAUAUUCUCACCAUCGACAUACAUACCAUUACCUAUUGACACUUGUAUACAUGACAAAUAACCAAAGAAUACCUUUUAACAAUGGAUCUCUUGGCUCUU
rnacentral:misc_RNA from 1 species